AUUACUUUUGUAACAUCUUGUUUUUCUCAUAGGCUCGGUUCCUGUUAUCAAAAGUGAACCCCUCACAGACGCACAAUAACCUCUAUGCCUGGGGACAGGAAUCGGGGUCUCCAAUCCUAACGGAUGAUGUUAGUCUCCAGGUAUUCAUGGACCAUCUGAAAAAAUUGGCAGUGUCAAGUGCAGCAUGACCUGGAUCAUAACAAGGACAUAAAAAGGAAAGAAUUAAUGGGAUCAUACUGAUAAUUCAAUAGAUGUGGGAAAAUGUAUUACCUGUAUUUUCUCACAUAUAACACAUGAUUUCCUCUAAAUGUAGCCCCCCAUAAUUGGGGUGCAUAUAUUAAGCAGGGAAGCUGUUUUUCUGCCUGGGAUAGAAGCACCCUACUUUAAAUCCUGCUCCACAGUGCAGCAUCAUGACUAUUCAGGCAGCUGAAGAAUUCAUUUGAUUUAAUGGUCCAUUGUUUUUUGCUCCACAGGUGUUAACAGUUGUCUCCUUUUUUAAUGGUCUUUAUGGUCUUGCUAAGAAAAGUCAAACUGACCUUUCUUAGGGCAAUUUUAUAGUCUACUAGCUGAUCCCAUUAGCCCAAGGAGGAAAAAAAGGGUAAAAGUCACCUGAAGACUGGGUUCUUCCCCUGGGCUAUGCAGUCAUAUAACUGGAAAAAUCCAUUUUUCUUCAUUCUGCCUUUCAAAAACAGGGUAUAUAUUAUAUUUUGGGCCAUGUUGUAUGUAAGCAAAUACAGUACAUUCCUUUUCUUCUUCGUAGGCCACAGCUUUCAACUAUUUCAUGAAACAAAUACUGGAGGGGAGCUUUGUACUGAAUCCUUUUAGAUGUUAAUUUAUUUGUAUUCCAUUUGUCUGUGUUCUUUCUGAUCUACAUUUUUCAUACAUUGUAACUUCAACUCCAGGAUGUUUUAGCUUAUAGAAAACUUAAUACAGCUUUUCACUUAAUUGUAACAAAAUGUAUUAAAACUAUUCUCUUUUAGCAACUCUUUUGGAUAAAGGAAACUAUAUUGAUGAAAGAUAAAAUUAGUUAAGGCAAGCAUUAAUAUUUAGUGCCAUACCGAACCUGACUCUCAGAGGGAAUUAAAUCAGUCUUCUAGUUCUUCCAGUAAAUUUUCAAAAGUAAACUAGAGUUGUGCAUUCAAGUUAUUGAAAAGAGAGAGAAUUUCAGUUCCUAUUGCCCAAGCAAUUUCAUUAGUGAUUCUGGAUCUCUAAGCACUGAGAAUCACAGAAUGCUUUCCAACAGAAGGUGGGUGCAAAAAUGCCUACCAUUUUGGUAUGCAUUUGGGGGAGAAGGGAUGUGCAUGCUUGUGGGAACACACCCAGCGUGUGCAUGUGUUUCCCUGGGGACAAACAGAAGUGUCAUAUAUUGCGCCAUCGCUACUUUUCCUCAGGCAUGCCCCUGUAUGCGUGUUGUGGUGAGCUGCAAAUUGCACCAAGUGGGGCAGGGGAAGCUGGAGCCAGCAUCUGCAUUGGCCCCAGCAGCCUUGCCUGGGGUCCCCUUGGGGCUGCAACAGCAGUGAUCCAGGUGCACAGCCUGGCUGGUAGCUGGAGUGUGGCUCUGGCUGGCCAGGCUCUAGUUUUGCAGGGUGUAUGCUGCAGCCACAUGCUCCCCACCCCUUGUUUUUAGAUACUGGGACUUCCUGGUAUUCGAUUUCGCCCUUCUGCUGCAAACAUGGAUUUGCAGUGCCUCAGGAGGCUUUGAGGUGCUGCAAACUACACGUUCCUGUUCCUGGGGAUGCAGCCAUUACAGGUUUCAAGUUAAAUUUGGCCCUAGUGUGGAGAAUUUACUCUCCACCACAUCAAAAUUGCACAUGAUCUACCUUCCUUCUUUGCUUGAGAUCUAAAGAUGACUCAUUACUUCAUCAUACAAAAAGACUCACACCUGCUACUCUCAACUACCAAAGUCAUGUUGAUUCAAAGCAUAGGGGCUGUCUAAAUUGCUUUUAAUUUCAGCCCCGAUUUUCAUCUAAAUAGAUUUGUGUACACAUCUUCUCUUACAGUUAGGCUCACACACUGUAUUGUAGCGGAGACCAACGUUUUUGCCAAGUGUAUCAUAAAUUAGUUCCACAUCCUUCCUGAGAGUCGCUCGAAUCCCUUUCUCCUGCCUGACUGGCUGCCUUACUUUAUGCCUGAUCUGCUGCUCUGUUGUUCUGUUCCCUGCCCUGUCUGCCACUUUGCUGCCUGUCCCCUUCCUAGUCUACCACACACAUGGGUUGAUCUGCUUUACUGCAUGUAAGCCUUCUGUUAGAGAGCAAAAAUUCUUGUUCAUGAUACAAUAAAAAGUCCUUAGACUUAUAACUGUAUCAAUGCUGUCUGUGGUUUUGGAGCUCUACUCCUCAAAAUAGUUGAAGUGAGGCAAGAAUGUUCCUAUAACCAAAUUUUAAACCUUAGUUGUGGUAAAUAUAAAAAUACUCUGUACAACUAGCUUCUGAUAUAUAACAUCUCAUUUUAACUCGAGUCACCCUCUUGCAAUGCAGUCUGAAGAAUGACUAUAAGAGCAGCAUGUACGCCCAGGCUUUUUUUUAAGAUUACAUGGUUAAUCUUCUGCGUAAAAACAUCAUUUUCCCCCAUUCUUGCAGAGUCACCAUGAACCUUUGCAGUUGAACUGGGCUCUAUUCAUUUUUCUCAACUGCUACUGCCGUGAGUCUGCAGGCCAAAAUAAGCUCUCAGCUAUAGCACUAACCCAGUUGCCAUCACUACUACCCUGUUAUCUAUAGUAGGAGUUCUCAACCUUUUUUUCCCCAAGGCCCCUCUGUGGAGCUGCCAUUGCUCCCUGCACAGGAGAGAAAUGGCCUGGCUCCCCAGCCCUGCCUGCAUGGCCCUGGGUGCAGCAGGCAGGGCUUGGCAGUGAAAUAUCCUGGGACCCCACUCACCCGAGCAGUAGCAGCAUAGAGCUUUGCUUACCUGCAGUGUCACCCACAAGAUGGAGGGUGUGGGGUGGGCCUACUCCUGCCUCCUCCUCAGGGCUUGCCUUAGUCCCAGGGGAGCCAAAGUGGCUCCUCCCCAUGCCAGGCUGGGUAAGCUCCCCAGAAGCCUGCUUGUGGCCCCCAGGGGGGCUGCAAACCCUUGGUUGAGAACCACUGACCUACAGUAUACCUAGACAACUUUAUUUACAUUUUAAAUAAAGGGUAGGGGUGGGUGUUUUUCUUUCCACAUGAACCUGCAUAUUUAUCUUUAUGCAGAGUGCUUUACAAUGUGGCCUAUUCCUUCCCAUCUGUAAAGAAGCUUGUAUGCUGCUGUGAACAAUACCUAAGUAUCUUUUUCAUAUAGUCCUUCCUGGUGCUGUUGCCUGGUCUAGACAUACUUUUUAAUUUGUCUUUUAAUGUAGACUCUGUUCCUUUGUUUCAUUUUAUUGCUGCUUUCUGGAGAAGCUCCCCAAGUUGCUUGCUGUUUACCCAUACCAGGUUAUUUCAGGGCAUAAAGGUCUUGCACACCAGGCCUUUUGGAUUUGAAUCUGGGUUGUGAUUCUUCAGAAAUUGCAGGACUGUAUAUGUCCACAGAGUAACAUGGCUGUCCCUUGAUCAGUUUCUAUGUGUUGGCAUCAGCAUCCUCAUGAGAGGCCAAGAAUGGAGAUCUACCACAGGCAGAGAAAUGCCAUUUAGGUUGAGGGCACUCGACCUAAAUCAGUGAUUACUGUAGGGCUGGUCUGGGCACAAUCACCAGGGGUUAAUCAUAAAAAACGAACAAACAAGAACAACUUAUAAAAGAGCUGGGCUGUUUGUUUGCCUACAGUACCUAUAUUUCUGCUUACUUCUGUCGAGGACUUUCAACCUUCAGACAUGGAAUGGAAACUCCUCCCUACCCUGCAUCCAUAGGUAUCACCCCUGUUAUAACAGAUGAUGAAACAGAGGCUGUGCAGGCCAAGUCUUUGGCUAAGGUGGUGUUAAAGGUCAGAGAAGUAGGGCUGGAAGGGCCCUCCAUAGGCCAUCUAAGUCCAGCCCCCUGCCUCAGGCAAGAUCAUCAAUACCCAAACCAUCCUAUGCAAUCCGUAACCAAAACUCUCUAUAUAAAGACAACCGUCAAUCCUGAUACAAGACAGACCUGACACCCUACCCUGCCUGGGGUAAAGCAGUGGAACCACAGCAGCCAGUGCCCUGCUUCUAUGAAAUGCUAUCAAUAUACACUCAGGAGAUCCCAGUUAGAUGGCCAUAAGCACUUACUACAGAGGAAGGCAAAAACCCCACAGCCUUGCCCAUAGGGUAAAAUCUCCACCUGACCCCAAAUAUGGAGAGCGAUCUGACCCCGAGUGGACAGGCAAGCCCCUCUCACCAGGAACCUCUGGCUUCGGUCCCAGCAGGAGCACUGGGCCACCCUGAAGUCCCCAGCUUUGGCUGCAGCCAACACCCGGUGCCUCUGAGAAAGGGCGCGUGACCCGAAGCUUUCAAAUAACCCUAACCCUAGCCCGCACAGAGCCUAACCGCGGCGGGACAGGGCCAGGCCUCCUGGCUGCGUAUCGCCCACAACGCGCAUGCACGGGACAGCGGGGCCCCCUCCCUUCCUACCCCGGAAGUCUUUCCGCGUUUCCUCGCCUCGAAUUGGCUGCACUGCUCGGCCAGUAGGCUCUGCCGUUGUUGGUGAGUGGGCGCUGGGGGCCGAAGGCAAGAUGAACAAGGCUAAAGCUGAGCUGUGGAGAAAACGCUUUGCCAUUAUGUACGCGCUGAGCUCAUGGAGUCUGUUGGGCUACGCCCUCUACUACUACCGCGUCGACAACUUGCCCCAGAGGAAGCCUAACGGUCCGGACACCAAGCAAGAAGUACAUCAUUAUAAAAACUAGCUGGGCUUUCACGUAGUAAGAACAGUGGACUAUAAACAAGGACCUGAACGUUUUCCGUAUUUGAAAGCAUCCUUUAACGUUACUGAUGACUCUGACCCAGAGAAGUAAUGGAUUCUAGCUGAAGAACAGAUUUUGCCCCCAUUUGCUGUUAAAGUCAAGAGCUUCACAUCUCAAAUAACAAUGGAUAAUUUAAAUAUGGCACAUCUCUUCAACUCCACUUAAACCAUUGUCUGAGAAUGUCUCUGUAAAUAUUAAUGUGAUUACAUAGGAAGUUUCUAAACUAGUUUUGAUUUUAAUGAAUUUACAUGUCACAUUGCAUCUAGUAGAGAAACCUUUUCACUAUUAUGAUUAGGCCUGGGUGUAGCAGGAGUAGCAGUUUGGAGGUAGUUGCCUUACAGAAUUAUAGCACCUGAUAUGGAAAUUGGAGAAUGGGGAAAAAAGUAGUACGAUUGCCAUAAUUAGGCAAAUAUUCUUGAUUGCUUUUUUUUCAGGAAACAAGCCAUUAACCUGUCUUAAAUACUGUAGGGGCAUAAACCAGAGAAUAUUAAAAACAUGAGGUCUUGAGAUGUUUUGUGCUUACCCAGCUAGUCCUAUAAUUCAAAGCCUAAACUCAUGUUAGCUCUGAUGCUGACCCAGAAUUACUGCUUUUUAUUGCAAAUAGGUAUUGCUUAAAAUAAAAUAGUACUUUUUAGUAAAAUAGUACUUUUCCUGAAAAAGCCAUGACUUGAUCUGUAUUUCAUAUGUGGCAUAAAACAAACAAAAAAAGAAUAGCAACAUGUUUAGGGAAAGAAAGGCCUUCAAAAGGCGUUACAAAGACUAGCAAGUAGUUGAAGAUUUCCAUAGCACAUAAGGCUUAUUCACAAUCACCAUCAGCUUCUUUCAUGUAACUGCAGGUAAGAGAACUCCAUGAAUGUAUUAUAUUUCAGAGUAAACAAAAACAAUGCAUUUACUCCUUGCUGCUUUGUGAAAAGGUGAAUGAUGAAGAGUAAAUGAAGACUUGAGAGGGAAAACUUAUUAAAAAAACAUAGCCUAUAUGUAAUAAAAAGCAUUUCUGGAGCUCAGCUUUUCAAAUGGAGGUUUGUAUUUCAAGAAACGAGUAAACCUUGGUACGAAAUAACCACAUAGAGGACACUGGUCCUUCUAUUUGGUUUGCUAAUGAAAUGGCUCAUCUCUUUUCACAGAACUGACCAGAUCAAGCAAGUCAAGGCUUUAUUCACCUUUCUGCUGUUUUAGGAUGGACAGAAUCAACUUGAAAUGCAGUCAUUUAGAGGGGGAAAAAAAUGACAAGUGGUUUCAGACACAACAUUUGACCCUAGAUUCCACUGCCAGAUUUUGUGCUUUGAUACUUUAUCCUCUCCACAUUUUUGUAACUCUUUAGUACAUAAUUGCUAUCAAAAGCAAAUAAGGAAAUUGGCGACAUACAAAGUGCUGUCAAAAACACACGCCUAAAAAUAUUUUUCAGAUAGAUGUGAUUAAACGUGAUGUGUUGGCAAAACUUUAUGAAGGAUUUCCCUCAAACUUUUUAUCCCUCUGUGAAUGUUAGAUGUGAAUGCUCUGUGGAAAAGUUACUUCCUGCCUUCUGAAGACACACAAUCCAUUAGUUCCAUGCUGUUUGUCAGGCCUUGCCCCUGUACUCUAAGAACAUCUUCUUGCUAGUCUGAUACAUUUCACUUUCCAGGAUUUUGUACUCCCACCAUCUCAUUCUCUACUUAGAGUUGUACUUAGAAACCUAUCUUUCAAGUGACCCAUCUGCCACCAGGGUCUGUGCCUGGGCAAAAAAAUAGGUAAGUCUUUUCUCAUGGUAGUCUGAGGUCAGCUGAAGAAUGAGCCUUUGUUUUUAGGGUAGGCAGAUCUCUCAUGGGGGAUGAAAAAUCAGGUUUAAUCGAGGCUGAUGUGGGUUGUUAGAAUAGGUAGGUAAGCCUACAGCCCAAAGGAAAGUGACAACAAAAUUACUAUUUUCAGAACUCUAUGGCAAAAAUGGCCAACUCUGCAGUACUGGUUGAAGAAUUAUGUUUUGUGGACUAUUCAGGGGUAGUAGUAUAGUGUUAUACAUAAAGCCCAGUUUAAUACUGGAGCCAGAGUGUUAAUGAAAAAGAGAAAUCACAAAGAUAAAGGUGGGGUUUCACCUGUUGGUUUGUACUUCAUAUACACUAACCAGUACUGGGGCACUACCAAUCUUUCUGCCAAUUGUCCAAGUGUGGCCUACCGCUCUUAGGCCUGAGACUCUUAAGAUUUUCUUUAUGCUCAUGAAACAAAUUCUCCUACCAGUUUUUAGAUUUGAACAUCUUGGUUUCACUUUAAAGAAUGAUCAUACUUUGUAGCUUGAGCCAAGUGUUUUGUUUCUGUUUAGUACACAUCCUAUAUGAUACAAACUGAAGGCAAAAUUAUGUAUACUUCCUAAGCACAGAUAACAAGAUGAACUGUGUCACAAGUUGCAUGCUAAAGAAAAAGCAGUUAAAAGUACUGAUUUUACCUGUGUAUUUUCUUAUUUUCAAAUGUUAUUUACCUUGUUCAUGUAUUCCCUCAGAGACUUUCUUGAAUCUAGUCAGAUUUUAAAGUAUCUGUUACCUGAAUGAUGUUUCCCAAUGAGGUCUGCCUAUUAUAAACCAGUCUCACAAAUAGGGGCAAUAAUUAUCCUCUUUUUUUUUUUAAAUAAUGCCACUUGCAAAUUAGGCUCCAAGUCACAGGUCAGCUGACCAACUUCCAGGCAAAUUCAGAGCCAGAAAUCACAGUGCUCUAUGCUUUGCCAAAUCAGAUGGUAAACAGUGUAGUACUCAUUGUUAAGAAAAAAGAAAAGAAGUCCUGUGCACUAACGAAAGAAACCAAAUAGGAAAACUUCCCCCUAAAUUUCUGAGUUAGUCUGAAUAGAUCUGCUACUGUGAGACAAGCAGCCCCAGAACCUCAGGCAGCCUGACUGGCAAGGAUACCCAGCUCGGGGGGACUGGAGGAAAAGCAGUCCCAAGGAAGGGUGGAGAAUGACAAGACAGUAUCUUGUAACCAGAUAUUGCAUUUUGAUCUGCUGCUUCUUUGUGAACUAGGACUUGUGGGAAGGGAGGUGUUGCCAAACCAAAACUCUCAUUAAUGUAUAUGCUCCUCUCCAUACAACCAUGCUCUAUAUAGCUGUGGUUUACCUACCUGUGCAUUAAUCAUGUAGGCUCAGGAGGAUGGUUAGCAACCAGUCUCCUCAUGCUGGCAAGAGCUAGGGGAGCACCUGCUUUGACAGUGGGCACCAGGGGAGUGGCGUCAAAGAAGAGGCUCACUACAGACAGGCUGCAGGAGGCGGCCCUGCCGGAGCUGGGGAUGUGUGCGCGCAGCACCAGGGCUUGGACCCCACCAAGGAGAAGAAACUGCUAGAACCAUCCCUAGUGGGUCCAGCCCCGUGUGCUCACAUGGCAGAGGGGUUAGGUCUCACCACCCCUCUUGGGGGCAGCCGGAGCGGCGCAGCUCCAGUCUCUGCAGAGGGACUGAUCCCCCUAUAGGGGCAGCCCGGUCUCUGCAGGGCAGCUGAUCCCGCCUCUAGGGGCAGCCGCUCCCCCCAGAGGUGCGCCCCGGUCUGCAGCGGGACUGGACCCCUGGCCGGAGCGCCCGGCGCCGCCGCCCUCCUCCGCUGCCGCGGCCCGGCCCGGCCCCGCCGCUGCCCGCAGAGGGCGCCCGCCCCCGGGAAGCCGCCGCCGCCUCCCGCAGCCGCCGGGCCUGGCUCCGCGGCGCAGCACCAUGAAGGCGAUCAUCCAGCGGGUCGGCCAGGCCAGCGUGACAGGUCAGUGCCGCCGCACCUGCCUCCCCGGGCUGCCCGGCCUGCUCCUGCCCUGGGCUCGCCCCUCCGCCCCGCCUGGCUUGUACCCCGUGGUCAGGUUGGUGUGGGAGGGGGCUGCUUUCCUGCGUGGCCCGGGCCUGGCCCGCUCCUGGGGAGCCCUCCAGCAGGCAUCAACAGCUUCUGUUGCGGCAGGAUGUUGGCUCUGGUCCCCCUGCUUUAUUGUUUGCAGACUAUUAUUAUUUUAUUUUAUUUUUAGAAAACUCUUUGUAUCCCAGAUCAAAUUAGCCAGAUCGGUUCCGGAUCCUCUCGACUGAGCAACGCUCGGUUGUUCAAACACCAUAGGUGGUACUGCAGCCGGCCAGUAUCCUCCUCCACCCCACACUUUUCAGCCGGGGGCUUCAGAUACUCCCAAAUCCAUCAAUGGGCAUCCUACGUGCAGGCCCGAGCCUGUGGGCUUGGGGUUCGGAUGCCCCCGAGUCACUUGCCCUUAACCAAAGGCCACAAGAGCAAGGUGGUUUGCAGAUAAGGGUGUUAAGUCUUGUGUUGUGUCAGGGCUGACUGUAGUUUAGCUAAGAGGUUAGAGGAUGGGUUUGUAUGGAAUGAGUGAGAUAGGGAUGGUGAGAUGGAGGGUGUGGGGUGGGCCUACUCCUGCCUCCUCCUCAGGGCUUGCCUUAGUCCCAGGGGAGCCAAAGUGGCUCCUCCCCAUGCCAGGCUGGGUAAGCUCCCCAGAAGCCUGCUUGUGGCCCCCAGGGGGGCUGCAAACCCUUGGUUGAGAACCACUGACCUACAGUAUACCUAGACAACUUUAUUUACAUUUUAAAUAAAGGGUAGGGGUGGGUGUUUUUCUUUCCACAUGAACCUGCAUAUUUAUCUUUAUGCAGAGUGCUUUACAAUGUGGCCUAUUCCUUCCCAUCUGUAAAGAAGCUUGUAUGCUGCUGUGAACAAUACCUAAGUAUCUUUUUCAUAUAGUCCUUCCUGGUGCUGUUGCCUGGUCUAGACAUACUUUUUAAUUUGUCUUUUAAUGUAGACUCUGUUCCUUUGUUUCAUUUUAUUGCUGCUUUCUGGAGAAGCUCCCCAAGUUGCUUGCUGUUUACCCAUACCAGGUUAUUUCAGGGCAUAAAGGUCUUGCACACCAGGCCUUUUGGAUUUGAAUCUGGGUUGUGAUUCUUCAGAAAUUGCAGGACUGUAUAUGUCCACAGAGUAACAUGGCUGUCCCUUGAUCAGUUUCUAUGUGUUGGCAUCAGCAUCCUCAUGAGAGGCCAAGAAUGGAGAUCUACCACAGGCAGAGAAAUGCCAUUUAGGUUGAGGGCACUCGACCUAAAUCAGUGAUUACUGUAGGGCUGGUCUGGGCACAAUCACCAGGGGUUAAUCAUAAAAAACGAACAAACAAGAACAACUUAUAAAAGAGCUGGGCUGUUUGUUUGCCUACAGUACCUAUAUUUCUGCUUACUUCUGUCGAGGACUUUCAACCUUCAGACAUGGAAUGGAAACUCCUCCCUACCCUGCAUCCAUAGGUAUCACCCCUGUUAUAACAGAUGAUGAAACAGAGGCUGUGCAGGCCAAGUCUUUGGCUAAGGUGGUGUUAAAGGUCAGAGAAGUAGGGCUGGAAGGGCCCUCCAUAGGCCAUCUAAGUCCAGCCCCCUGCCUCAGGCAAGAUCAUCAAUACCCAAACCAUCCUAUGCAAUCCGUAACCAAAACUCUCUAUAUAAAGACAACCGUCAAUCCUGAUACAAGACAGACCUGACACCCUACCCUGCCUGGGGUAAAGCAGUGGAACCACAGCAGCCAGUGCCCUGCUUCUAUGAAAUGCUAUCAAUAUACACUCAGGAGAUCCCAGUUAGAUGGCCAUAAGCACUUACUACAGAGGAAGGCAAAAACCCCACAGCCUUGCCCAUAGGGUAAAAUCUCCACCUGACCCCAAAUAUGGAGAGCGAUCUGACCCCGAGUGGACAGGCAAGCCCCUCUCACCAGGAACCUCUGGCUUCGGUCCCAGCAGGAGCACUGGGCCACCCUGAAGUCCCCAGCUUUGGCUGCAGCCAACACCCGGUGCCUCUGAGAAAGGGCGCGUGACCCGAAGCUUUCAAAUAACCCUAACCCUAGCCCGCACAGAGCCUAACCGCGGCGGGACAGGGCCAGGCCUCCUGGCUGCGUAUCGCCCACAACGCGCAUGCACGGGACAGCGGGGCCCCCUCCCUUCCUACCCCGGAAGUCUUUCCGCGUUUCCUCGCCUCGAAUUGGCUGCACUGCUCGGCCAGUAGGCUCUGCCGUUGUUGGUGAGUGGGCGCUGGGGGCCGAAGGCAAGAUGAACAAGGCUAAAGCUGAGCUGUGGAGAAAACGCUUUGCCAUUAUGUACGCGCUGAGCUCAUGGAGUCUGUUGGGCUACGCCCUCUACUACUACCGCGUCGACAACUUGCCCCAGAGGAAGCCUAACGGUCCGGACACCAAGCAAGAAGUACAUCAUUAUAAAAACUAGCUGGGCUUUCACGUAGUAAGAACAGUGGACUAUAAACAAGGACCUGAACGUUUUCCGUAUUUGAAAGCAUCCUUUAACGUUACUGAUGACUCUGACCCAGAGAAGUAAUGGAUUCUAGCUGAAGAACAGAUUUUGCCCCCAUUUGCUGUUAAAGUCAAGAGCUUCACAUCUCAAAUAACAAUGGAUAAUUUAAAUAUGGCACAUCUCUUCAACUCCACUUAAACCAUUGUCUGAGAAUGUCUCUGUAAAUAUUAAUGUGAUUACAUAGGAAGUUUCUAAACUAGUUUUGAUUUUAAUGAAUUUACAUGUCACAUUGCAUCUAGUAGAGAAACCUUUUCACUAUUAUGAUUAGGCCUGGGUGUAGCAGGAGUAGCAGUUUGGAGGUAGUUGCCUUACAGAAUUAUAGCACCUGAUAUGGAAAUUGGAGAAUGGGGAAAAAAGUAGUACGAUUGCCAUAAUUAGGCAAAUAUUCUUGAUUGCUUUUUUUUCAGGAAACAAGCCAUUAACCUGUCUUAAAUACUGUAGGGGCAUAAACCAGAGAAUAUUAAAAACAUGAGGUCUUGAGAUGUUUUGUGCUUACCCAGCUAGUCCUAUAAUUCAAAGCCUAAACUCAUGUUAGCUCUGAUGCUGACCCAGAAUUACUGCUUUUUAUUGCAAAUAGGUAUUGCUUAAAAUAAAAUAGUACUUUUUAGUAAAAUAGUACUUUUCCUGAAAAAGCCAUGACUUGAUCUGUAUUUCAUAUGUGGCAUAAAACAAACAAAAAAAGAAUAGCAACAUGUUUAGGGAAAGAAAGGCCUUCAAAAGGCGUUACAAAGACUAGCAAGUAGUUGAAGAUUUCCAUAGCACAUAAGGCUUAUUCACAAUCACCAUCAGCUUCUUUCAUGUAACUGCAGGUAAGAGAACUCCAUGAAUGUAUUAUAUUUCAGAGUAAACAAAAACAAUGCAUUUACUCCUUGCUGCUUUGUGAAAAGGUGAAUGAUGAAGAGUAAAUGAAGACUUGAGAGGGAAAACUUAUUAAAAAAACAUAGCCUAUAUGUAAUAAAAAGCAUUUCUGGAGCUCAGCUUUUCAAAUGGAGGUUUGUAUUUCAAGAAACGAGUAAACCUUGGUACGAAAUAACCACAUAGAGGACACUGGUCCUUCUAUUUGGUUUGCUAAUGAAAUGGCUCAUCUCUUUUCACAGAACUGACCAGAUCAAGCAAGUCAAGGCUUUAUUCACCUUUCUGCUGUUUUAGGAUGGACAGAAUCAACUUGAAAUGCAGUCAUUUAGAGGGGGAAAAAAAUGACAAGUGGUUUCAGACACAACAUUUGACCCUAGAUUCCACUGCCAGAUUUUGUGCUUUGAUACUUUAUCCUCUCCACAUUUUUGUAACUCUUUAGUACAUAAUUGCUAUCAAAAGCAAAUAAGGAAAUUGGCGACAUACAAAGUGCUGUCAAAAACACACGCCUAAAAAUAUUUUUCAGAUAGAUGUGAUUAAACGUGAUGUGUUGGCAAAACUUUAUGAAGGAUUUCCCUCAAACUUUUUAUCCCUCUGUGAAUGUUAGAUGUGAAUGCUCUGUGGAAAAGUUACUUCCUGCCUUCUGAAGACACACAAUCCAUUAGUUCCAUGCUGUUUGUCAGGCCUUGCCCCUGUACUCUAAGAACAUCUUCUUGCUAGUCUGAUACAUUUCACUUUCCAGGAUUUUGUACUCCCACCAUCUCAUUCUCUACUUAGAGUUGUACUUAGAAACCUAUCUUUCAAGUGACCCAUCUGCCACCAGGGUCUGUGCCUGGGCAAAAAAAUAGGUAAGUCUUUUCUCAUGGUAGUCUGAGGUCAGCUGAAGAAUGAGCCUUUGUUUUUAGGGUAGGCAGAUCUCUCAUGGGGGAUGAAAAAUCAGGUUUAAUCGAGGCUGAUGUGGGUUGUUAGAAUAGGUAGGUAAGCCUACAGCCCAAAGGAAAGUGACAACAAAAUUACUAUUUUCAGAACUCUAUGGCAAAAAUGGCCAACUCUGCAGUACUGGUUGAAGAAUUAUGUUUUGUGGACUAUUCAGGGGUAGUAGUAUAGUGUUAUACAUAAAGCCCAGUUUAAUACUGGAGCCAGAGUGUUAAUGAAAAAGAGAAAUCACAAAGAUAAAGGUGGGGUUUCACCUGUUGGUUUGUACUUCAUAUACACUAACCAGUACUGGGGCACUACCAAUCUUUCUGCCAAUUGUCCAAGUGUGGCCUACCGCUCUUAGGCCUGAGACUCUUAAGAUUUUCUUUAUGCUCAUGAAACAAAUUCUCCUACCAGUUUUUAGAUUUGAACAUCUUGGUUUCACUUUAAAGAAUGAUCAUACUUUGUAGCUUGAGCCAAGUGUUUUGUUUCUGUUUAGUACACAUCCUAUAUGAUACAAACUGAAGGCAAAAUUAUGUAUACUUCCUAAGCACAGAUAACAAGAUGAACUGUGUCACAAGUUGCAUGCUAAAGAAAAAGCAGUUAAAAGUACUGAUUUUACCUGUGUAUUUUCUUAUUUUCAAAUGUUAUUUACCUUGUUCAUGUAUUCCCUCAGAGACUUUCUUGAAUCUAGUCAGAUUUUAAAGUAUCUGUUACCUGAAUGAUGUUUCCCAAUGAGGUCUGCCUAUUAUAAACCAGUCUCACAAAUAGGGGCAAUAAUUAUCCUCUUUUUUUUUUUAAAUAAUGCCACUUGCAAAUUAGGCUCCAAGUCACAGGUCAGCUGACCAACUUCCAGGCAAAUUCAGAGCCAGAAAUCACAGUGCUCUAUGCUUUGCCAAAUCAGAUGGUAAACAGUGUAGUACUCAUUGUUAAGAAAAAAGAAAAGAAGUCCUGUGCACUAACGAAAGAAACCAAAUAGGAAAACUUCCCCCUAAAUUUCUGAGUUAGUCUGAAUAGAUCUGCUACUGUGAGACAAGCAGCCCCAGAACCUCAGGCAGCCUGACUGGCAAGGAUACCCAGCUCGGGGGGACUGGAGGAAAAGCAGUCCCAAGGAAGGGUGGAGAAUGACAAGACAGUAUCUUGUAACCAGAUAUUGCAUUUUGAUCUGCUGCUUCUUUGUGAACUAGGACUUGUGGGAAGGGAGGUGUUGCCAAACCAAAACUCUCAUUAAUGUAUAUGCUCCUCUCCAUACAACCAUGCUCUAUAUAGCUGUGGUUUACCUACCUGUGCAUUAAUCAUGUAGGCUCAGGAGGAUGGUUAGCAACCAGUCUCCUCAUGCUGGCAAGAGCUAGGGGAGCACCUGCUUUGACAGUGGGCACCAGGGGAGUGGCGUCAAAGAAGAGGCUCACUACAGACAGGCUGCAGGAGGCGGCCCUGCCGGAGCUGGGGAUGUGUGCGCGCAGCACCAGGGCUUGGACCCCACCAAGGAGAAGAAACUGCUAGAACCAUCCCUAGUGGGUCCAGCCCCGUGUGCUCACAUGGCAGAGGGGUUAGGUCUCACCACCCCUCUUGGGGGCAGCCGGAGCGGCGCAGCUCCAGUCUCUGCAGAGGGACUGAUCCCCCUAUAGGGGCAGCCCGGUCUCUGCAGGGCAGCUGAUCCCGCCUCUAGGGGCAGCCGCUCCCCCCAGAGGUGCGCCCCGGUCUGCAGCGGGACUGGACCCCUGGCCGGAGCGCCCGGCGCCGCCGCCCUCCUCCGCUGCCGCGGCCCGGCCCGGCCCCGCCGCUGCCCGCAGAGGGCGCCCGCCCCCGGGAAGCCGCCGCCGCCUCCCGCAGCCGCCGGGCCUGGCUCCGCGGCGCAGCACCAUGAAGGCGAUCAUCCAGCGGGUCGGCCAGGCCAGCGUGACAGUGGGUGGAGAACAAAUAAGUUCCAUUGGACGGGGGAUCUGUGUGUUGCUGGGUAUUUCUUUGGAGGACACUCAGAGAGAGCUGGAAC